rnacentral:rRNA from 1 species
UUCCGGUUGAUCCUGCCGGACCCGACCGCUAUCGGGGUAGGGCUAAGCCAUGGGAGUCUUACACCCUCGGGAAGAGGGUGUGGCGGACGGCUGAGUAACACGUGGCUAACCUACCCUCGGGACGGGGAUAACCCCGGGAAACUGGGGAUAAUCCCCGAUAGGGGAAGAGUCCUGGAACGGUUCUUCCCCUAAACGGUUAUGGGCUGUUCCCGCUCAUAACCGCCCGAGGAUGGGGCCGCGGCCCAUCAGGCUGUUGGCGGGGUAAAGGCCCGCCAAACCUAUAACGGGUAGGGGCCGUGGGAGCGGGAGCCCCCAGUUGGGCACUGAGACAAGGGCCCAGGCCCUACGGGGCGCACCAGGCGCGAAACGUCCCCAAUGCGCGAAAGCGUGAGGGCGCUACCCCGAGUGCCUCCGAAAGGAGGCUUUUCCUCGCUCUAAUAAGGCGGGGGAAUAAGCGGGGGGCAAGUCUGGUGUCAGCCGCCGCGGUAAUACCAGCUCCGCGAGUGGUCGGGGCGCUUACUGGGCCUAAAGCGCCUGUAGCCGGCCCACCAAGUUACCCCUUAAAGACCCGAGCUCAACUCGGGGACUGGGGGUAAUACUGGUGGGCUAGGGGGCGGGAGAGGCGGGAGGUACUCCCGGAGUAGGGGCGAAAUCCGUAGAUACCGGGAGGACCACCAGUGGCGGAGGCGUCCCGCUAGAACGCGCCCGACGGUGAGAGGCGAAAGCCGGGGCAGCAAACGGGAUUAGAUACCCCGGUAGUCCCGGCUGUAAACGAUGCGGGCUAGGUGUCAGACGGGCUUAGGGCCUGUCUGGUGCCGCAGGGAAGCCGUUAAGCCCGCCGCCUGGGGAGUACGGUCGCAAGACUGAAACUUAAAGGAAUUGGCGGGGGAGCACCACAAGGGGUGGAACCUGCGGCUCAAUUGGAGUCAACGCCGGG